UUUGGGAUGUGCUAAAACAC
rnacentral:siRNA from 1 species